UACGUAGGGUGCGAGCGUUACUCGGAAUUACUGGGCGUAAAGCGUGCGCAGGCGGUUUUGUAAGUCCGAUGUUAAAGCCCCGGGCUUAACCUGGGAAUGGCAUUUGGGACUGCAAGGCUUGAGUGCGGCAGAGGAGACUGGAAUUCCUGGUGUAGCAGUGAAAUGCGUAGAUAUCAGGAGGAAUACCGAUGGCGAAGGCAGGUCUCUGGGCUGACACUGACGCUCAUGCACGAAAGCGUGGGGAGCAAACAGG
rnacentral:rRNA from 1 species